CCCUCUCUCCUUUUCUCUCUGUAGAAAAUCAAUAAAAUAUAUAUAUAUAUAUUUUUAAAAGGAAUAGCAAUGAGUUAUAUACUUCAAAAUGGUUAACAUAGUGGAUUUUAUGUUAUGUAAAUGUUAUCUCAAAUUUUUUAAAAAAGGAAUCAGAUUUUAACUCCCUUUUCAUCAUGCCCACUGUUCACACCUUAUCGAUCACUCUCACAAAUCUUGACUGGUCAUCUUUAAACCCAUCCUUCAUAGUGUUGCCAGAGAUGCAAAUGAAAAUCUGAAAACCUUUUCACCUUUUUUGCAAAGUAUAAAAGGUUUUCUGUAGCCUGUACCUGGUCUGCUUUUUCCAGUCUCAUCUCAGUCCCAGCUUCUCCUGUGCUAGUCAUAUUGAAUUUCCUGACUGCCUUGAUCGUCUGUACUCUGUGUCUAUACUUGCUGGAAUUCUGCUGGAGAAUCUCCCUUCUCACUCACCCCACCCCCUUUCCUGAGGUUUCCUACUCUUCAAGUCUUAGCUCAAACAUUACUUUUUUCCUUAACUAAGUUUUUCCUGGUUCUUCCACAUGAAUUGAGAUCAUUUCAGCACAUUGUAUUAUAAUUGUUUAUAUACCAGUCUUGCCCAUUAGACCAGUGGUUCUCAACCUUCUGUCCCUUUAAAUUCAGUUCCUCAUGUUGUGACCCAACCAUAAAAUUAUUUUCGUUGCUACUUCAUAACUGUAAUGUUGCUACUGUUAUGAAUUGUAAUUAAAUAUCUGAUAUGCAGGAUGGUCUUAGGCGACCCCUGUGAAAGGGUCAUUUGACUGCCAAAGGGGUUGCGACCCACAGAUUGAGAACCGCUGUAUUAGACUGUGAGCAUCUUGAAUACACACACUUUUAAAUUAAUAUUCUUUCCCUAGCAGUGUCUUUCAGAAAGGUCCUCAGUAAACAUCCAAUUAAUUCAUUAACUGUGUGCAUAGAAUCACAAAUCUGUUCUUUCACUUGCAGGUUUGUUUAGGUUUCAAAUUCUAAAAUUGGAUUUUCUCAUCAGUAAACAAGGGAUUAAUAUCGGCUGGUAAAUGUAUUUUAGUUUUUACCCCUUUACUCUCUAAUUGAGGAUGUUUUAGGCUUUUAAAAAAGAUUAUGGUGAUACUAGUUAGAGACAGUUUAAAAAUAUAGAUGUUCUAUAGUGGAACACUUAGGUUUUUUUUGUCCAUAUUUGAAAAUUUUAUUUUAAAAAAUCCCAGGUCUAUCUACCAGAGUAUAUUUGGCUUUUAAUAGAGGGUAAUGUAUGAUCUUAUAAUCAAAGUAUUAUUUUUUAUUUUAUUUUUAUUUUGAGAGUAAAUUUAUUCUUAUUUUUUAUAUGUUUUUAUUGAUGUGGGAGAGAGAGAGAAAAAAACAUCGAUCUGCUGACUCCUACACUACUCCUGUUGGGGAUCGAGCCUGAAACCCUGGCAUGUGCCCCUACUGGCAAUCGAACCUGCGACCUCUCAGUGCAUGGGACAACUCUAAACCAACUGAACCACACCGGCCAGGUAUGAACCCCUUUUGAAAGAUGAGGGAACUGAUGCUAAGCAAAAGGAAGGUUUGGGGCUUGUUCAAAGAAGCACAACUCUAGAGAAUGAGCUGGGAUUCCACCCCUGGUCUGCUUCCAAAGCCUAUGCUCUCUGCUAGGCAUGAAGGUGUACAAGACUAUAUGAUCCAGUAAUUCCUCUUCUGGGUAUUUACCUGAAAAAAAAAAUUAUUUCUGAGCCAUAGCUUUUUAUCAACAAUGGCCUCUUGAUGAUGGGUAAGAGGCAUCAUAAGGAAGAAGAUUCUUCAGUACUAGAGACUUAUUCCUAUCAAGAAAGCUUUCAACAUAAAUGUGAAGACAAGAAAUGUUCCUUUAUAAAACCAUAUACUAGAGAAGACAAAAGAGAACUAGUGAAAGAAGUGUCUAGGAAAUAUAUAGGUGUUAUAUUUGAGUUAUUUAGACUAUAUCACAUUCUUCAACUGUUCCAGGAAUAUCAGGUAGUGAUUUAUCAUUAAAAAUUAUAUAUUUUUUGCCCUAACCUGUUUGGCUCAGUGGAUAGAGCAUCUGCCUGCGGACUGAAGGGUCCCAGGUUCGAUUCCGGCCAAGGGCAUGUACCUUGGUUGUGGGCACAUCCCCAGUAGGAGGUGUGCAGGAGGCAGCUGAUGGAUGUUUCUCUCUCAUCGAUGUUUCUAACUCUCUAUCCCUC